rnacentral:rRNA from 1 species
GAGUUNGAUCCUGGCUCAGGAUGAACGCUGGCGGUCUGCUUAACACAUGCAAGUCGAACGGAAUCUUUCGGGAUUUAGUGGCGGACGGGUGAGUAACGCGUGAGAAUCUGCCUUCAGGUUCGGGACAACAGCUGGAAACGGCUGCUAAUACCGGAUGUGCCGAGAGGUGAAAGCUUUAGUGCCUGGAGAUGAGCUCGCGUCUGAUUAGCUAGUAGGAGUGGUAACGGCACCCCUAGGCGACGAUCAGUAGCUGGUCUGAGAGGAUGAUCAGCCACACUGGGACUGAGACACGGCCCAGACUCCUACGGGAGGCAGCAGUGGGGAAUUUUCCGCAAUGGGCGCAAGCCUGACGGAGCAAGACCGCGUGAGGGAGGAAGGCCUAUUGGUUGUAAACCUCUUUUGAUAGGGAAGAACACAAUGACGGUACCUAUCGAAUCAGCAUCGGCUAACUCCGUGCCAGCAGCCGCGGUAAUACGGAGGAUGCAGGCGUUAUCCGGAUUUAUUGGGCGUAAAGCGUCCGUAGGUGGCAAACCAAGUCAGUUGUUAAAGCGUAGAGCUUAACUCUAUAAGGGCAAUUGAAACUGGUUAGCUAGAGUGCGAUAGGGGCAAGGGGAAUUCCCAGUGUAGCGGUGAAAUGCGUAGAUAUUGGGAAGAACAUCGGUGGCGAAGGCGCCUUGCUGGGUCUGCACUGACACUGAGGGACGAAAGCUAGGGGAGCGAAAGGGAUUAGAUACCCCUGUAGUCCU